AACGAACGCUGGCGGCAGGCCUAACACAUGCAAGUCGAGCGAGGACUUCGGUUCUAGCGGCGGACGGGUGAGUAACGCGUGGGAAUGUGCCCUUCUCUACGGAAUAGCCCUGGGAAACUGGGAGUAAUACCGUAUACGCCCUAUCGGGGAAAGAUUUAUCGGAGAAGGAUCAGCCCGCGUUGGAUUAGGUGGUUGGUGGGGUAAUGGCCUACCAAGCCGACGAUCCAUAGCUGGUUUGAGAGGAUGAUCAGCCACACUGGGACUGAGACACGGCCCAGACUCCUACGGGAGGGAGCAGUGGGGAAUCUUAGACAAUGGGGGCAACGCUGAUCUAGCCAUGCCGCGUGAGUGAUGAAGGCCUUAGGGUUGUAAAGCUCUUUCAGCUGGGAAGAUAAUGACGGUACCAGCAGAAGAAGCCCCGGCUAACUCCGUG
rnacentral:rRNA from 1 species